rnacentral:rRNA from 1 species
GUCUAUGGCCAUGCCAUUCUGAACACACCCAAUCUCGUCUGAUCUCGGAAGCUAAGCAGGGUCAGGCCUGGUUAGUACUUGGAUGGGAGACCACCUAGAAAGACCAGGUGUUGUAGACA